CAGAAGAAGCACCGGCUAACUACGUGCCAGCAGCCGCGGUAAUACGUAGGGUGCGAGCGUUGUCCGGAAUUAUUGGGCGUAAAGAGCUCGUAGGUGGUUCGUCACGUCGGAUGUGAAACUCUGGGGCUUAACCCCAGACCUGCAUUCGAUACGGGCGAGCUUGAGUAUGGUAGGGGAGUCUGGAAUUCCUGGUGUAGCGGUGGAAUGCGCAGAUAUCAGGAGGAACACCAAUGGCGAAGGCAGGUCUCUGGGCCAUUACUGACACUGAGGAGCGAAAGCGUGGGGAGCGAACAGGAUUAGAUACCCUGGUAGUCCACGCCGUAAACGGUGGGCGCUAGUUGUGCGAACCUUCCACGGUUUGUGCGACGCAGCUAACGCAUUAAGCGCCCCGCCUGGGGAGUACGGCCGCAAGGCUAAAACUCAAAGGAAUUGACGGGGGCCCGCACAAGCGGCGGAGCAUGCGGCUUAAUUCGAUGCAACGCGAAGAACCUUACCUGGGCUUGACAUAUAGGGAAAUCUCAUAGAGAUAUGAGGUCCGCAAGGGUCCUAUACAGGUGGUGCAUGGCUGUCGUCAGCUCGUGUCGUGAGAUGUUGGGUUAAGUCCCGCAACGAGCGCAACCCUCGUUCUAUGUUGCCAGCACGUUAUGGUGGGGACUCAUAGGAGACUGCCGGGGUCAACUCGGAGGAAGGUGGGGAUGACGUCAAGUCAUCAUGCCCCUUAUGUCCAGGGCUGCACGCAUGCUACAAUGGCGAGUACAAAGGGCUGCGAUACCGCAAGGUGGAGCGAAUCCCAUAAAGCUCGUCUCAGUUCGGAUUGGGGUCUGCAACUCGACCCCAUGAAGUCGGAGUCGCUAGUAAUCGCAGAUCAGCAACGCUGCGGUGAAUACGUUCCCGGGCCUUGUACACACCGCCCGUCACGUCACGAAAGUCGGUAACACCCGAAGCCGGUGGCCUAACCGUAAGGAAGGAGCCGUCGAAGGUGGGAUCGGUGAUUGGGACUAAGUCGUAACAAGGUAGCCGUACCGGAAGGUGCGGCUG
rnacentral:rRNA from 1 species